rnacentral:rRNA from 1 species
GCCUAGAACCUAGUUCCUUUUUAUGCCCGAACAGUAAAAUAAUAAAACCAAAACAUUUGUCACGACUAGUAGAGGAGAUCAAACGUCGAACACGACACGACAGAGACAGUACCGCAAGGGAAAGGUGAAACACACCUCAAGCCCAAAAAAGCAAAGACUAAACCUUGUACCUUUCGCAUCAUGGUUUAGCGAGACAAACCCAAGCAAAAAGAAGACAGCUCGGAACCCCGAAACCAAGUGAGCUACUUCUAAGCAGCUAAACUGAGCACAUCCCCCUCUGUAGCAAAAGAGCGGAAAGACUUAAAAGUAGAGGUGAAAAGCCUACCGAACUUGGCAAUAGCUGGUUGCCCGUUAAUGAAUCUAAGUUCACCCUUGGCCCUCACCAAUACCACAACAUCAGCCCAAGGAAAUUCACCAGGGGUACAGCCCUGAUGAAACAGGAUACAACCUGUAUACUGAGAGGACCCAAUUAAUACUCAUUCCGUAGGCCCUAAAGCAGCCGCCCAAAAAAAUCGCGUCAAAGCACACAAUUUUAAAAUACCAAAAAACCACCACACCUCCAGCAAAAACAUGAGCAACUCUAUCACGAUAGAAAAACCUAUGCUAAAACUAAUAAUAAGAGCCGCCUCUCCAGACAUACCCAUCAAUCAGAAAUAGACAUACUACUGAUAAUUAUCGGUAAAGGAAGAGGGGACUUAAUACCCGACCCUCUGCCACACCGUGACCCCAACACAGGAAUGUCAAAUAACGGAAAGAUAAAAAGCCAUAAAAGGAACUCGGCACCCACAGACUCCAACUGUUUACCAAAAACAUAGCCUUUAGCUAAACAAGUAUUAAAGGUGAUGCCUGCCCAGUGAGAGGAAUCUUCAACGGCCGCGGUACCCUAACCGUGCAAAGGUAGCAUAAUCACUUGUCCACUAACUACGGACUAGCAUGAAAGGCCUCAUGAGAGUCAAACUGUCUCUUAUGGCCCAUCAAUGAAACUGAUCUUACAGUCCAAAAGCUGUAAUAAGCCUAUAAGACGAGAAGACCCUGUGAAACUUCAACAACCCACUUAACUAUCAACUAAGUGGUACUUUCGGUUGGGGCGACCUUGGAACAAAGCAAAACUUCCAAACAUAGAGGCCUAACCCUCACCCACCAGGCCCACACGCCACAGUAUGAUCCAGUAAAACUGAUAAAUGAACUAAGCUACUCCAGGGAUAACAGCGCCAUCUUCUUCAAGAGCCCAUAUCAAAAAGAAGGUUUACGACCUCGAUGUUGGAUCAGGGCACCCAAGCGGCGCAGCCACUACUAAAGGUUCGUUUGUUCAACGAUUAAUAGC